rnacentral:tRNA from 1 species
UUAACUAUAAGAUAUUGUAGUCUGUUGGUUUGUGGAGCCAAAUGUCCCUGUGUGGUUAGC